CAGUUCUCUGUCUGGGUUAACACUGUCUGAUUAGACCUCCCAGAGAUAAACCUGUGUUUACUCUAAGGAGAGUAUUAAGUUGAAGAGGCUUGAGCUUCCGUUCUUUCCAAGUGACUAUUUUAACAAGGACAGUCCAAAAAUAUGUCUUUAUAUUCACCUUGGUGCUCAAAUUAAGAUUAUUGAUAAAUGCAGUGUUACCUAAAUUGUCCCAAGGGAACAACAUUGUUGAAAUGUUGUGUAAGUAUAAGGGAAAUAUUGUUCUUUCCUCAAGAAGCUUAUGAUGCCACUCGUCACACAUUUGUCCAGCACUCACAAGUCAGUAUCCUUCACUAUGUUACAGGGGCUGGAAAUAAGAUGGCUCAGACUAGUCCAGAACCUGAAUUAGUUUAGUUUUUAAACCUGGUUGCAUGUUAGAAACGCUUAGGUAGCUUUUGGAAAAUAUUAAUUCCUAGAUGUCUGAUUCAGUGAUAGUGACUGACCUUCUGGAUUUGGGCCAGAAAAUGCUCUUAUUUUUCCACUAGUAGAGACCUAAUCUCCUAGCAUACUCCAGAUCUCAAUUCCUUACUUCAUUCCAGUGCUAUUAAAACCAGUGCUCUGGGGCCGGCCCCAUGGCCAAGUGGUUGAGUUUGCGUGCUUUGCUUCGGCGGCCCAGGAUUUUGCCAGUUCGAAUCCUGGUCUCAGACAUGGCACUGCCCACCAGGUCGUGCUGAGGCGGCAUCCCACAUGCCACAACUAGAAGGACCCACAACUGAAAAUACACAGCUAUGUACUGGAGGGCUUUGGGAGAAAAAGGAAAAAUAAAAUCUUUAAAAAAGAAACAAAACCCAGUGCUCUGUACCCUCAUGUUCUUGUUGGUUUGCUGUUAUCCUGGAAAGAUGGCCAUAUGAUUGAUUGUCUGCCUACUGAGCAUUCAGUUCUGCAUAAUACAAUGGUUGCCUAGCCAGACAUCUUUCUUCGCCAUUGAAGAGCAAUCAAGUGCCUAUCUUUUUAAACAGCAAAAUCUCCUCUUAAUUACUUGGUUCUUAGAUAGUUUCAUGUGUUCAGUCAGCAAAUACUGGGAACCUGUUAUGUGCUAGGCACAGUCUGGGUGCCGGGGAUAUACCAGUAAAUAACAAACUUUGUUCUCUGUUCUUGUGGAGUUUUACAUAUUUCCCACUGGAGGAGAAGGUACACAAAAAUAAUAUGCUGUCAGGUUGUGGUAAGUAUAAUGAAGAAAAAUAAGGUAGGGUAAGGAAUUAAGCCACUUUUUCUUUAAGGUUUAAGCACAUUUAUUUUCCUAGAAUUUAAUAAAUUACUUGCAUUCAAAGCCAUUAUUUUUUCCUUUCAGAUACAAGCUAAUGCUGGUGACUCCUAUCCUGGAGGUUGCCUUUUCUCUGAAAUUAGCUAUUAGAUCUUUGACAGUCUCCUCACUUUUUUCAGCAUACCAGAGCAUAGUACAAGAUGGUAAAGGACAUUAUAGAUUUUGAAAAUGUGCUUAAAUUUAGAUAUGUAUAGUUACCGUGGCUAUUAACAUACUGUUUUAACUAUUGUUGUCUUAUGAUGAAGCCUAAUAGUUAUUUUUUAUACUUAAUUCAUUUUUCCUUGUUUAAUAUUAUAUACAGAAAAGUAAAUAAAUAUUCAGUAAUGUACCUGUCACUUAGGUCAAGAAAUAAAUCAUUUUCAGCAACCUAGAAGCUCCCCUUCUCCAUGUGCCCUAUUGUGAUCAUAAUCCUCUCCCUUCUCGUUUUUGUAACUACCAACCUGACUUUUGUGAACAUCAUUUCCUUGUCUUAUGUUUAUAGUUUUACCUCUAUUUAUGCAUCCCUAAGUGAUAUACUUUAAUUUUGCUUGUGUGUGAACUUUGUUUAAUUAUACUCCAUAUUUUGUAUUUUGCCUUUUUUCUCUCAACAUUAUCUUGGAGAUUCAUCCAUGUGCUCUGUAGCUGGUAUUCCACUGAAUGAACAUAAUUUAACCAUUCUAUUAUUGAUGGACAUUUGGGUUAUUUCCACUUUUUGGCUAAUAUGAACACUGAACAUUUUUGUUCAUCUUUUCUGGUGUACUUGGGUAUUCUUUAGGACGUAUAUCAAGAACUGGACUUGCUGAGACAACGAGUGGCUGAGCCAUAACCUCCCUGGUAAGGUUUUUGUCCUAUACUCAAAAAAGAAAUGUGCCAAUGUUAUGUUGCAAACUUCAAGUUUGGGCAAGCCCAACAGCCAACGGAAAACAAAACGAUUAACAUCAGCCAUCACUACCAGGUCCCAGAAACGGUAAAUGUUGAUCUCUUCUUUCUCUUUUGUUACUCUAAAAUAUAAUUUUAAUUCUUACGUCAUUAAAAAAUUACUGUGAAUAACGUCAUAAUCAUACAUGACUUUGAAUCAUCAGUGACCUAUGCUGAUUGCUUUGAGAAAUCCUAAGAUGUACCUAGAUGUAGUACACUGCCUUCAGGGAGCUUAAAAUUCAGUGGAAAGGACAUGCCUAUGGUGGCUCCGAAGUAAGGCAUUGUGUGUCUAGUGCGGCC
ensembl:lncRNA